GUGCUCGUGUCAGCAGCACAUAUACUAAAACUGGAACAAUACAGAGAAGAUCAGCAUGGCCCCUGCACAAGGAUGACAUGCAAAUUUGAGAAGCGUUCCAUAUUUUU
rnacentral:snRNA from 1 species